GAUGUGUGUGGUCCAAUGGGAGUAGUUUAAAAAAAGGGAACGAUUGUCGGCUUAGUGAUUUAAAAAGGUCCAAUCAAAAUGUUUUAAAUGCUAGAUACUUUUGGCCCUAUCACAUGUUUACAACCAAAAGAUCGCGGCCCAAUCAUAGUCUUCGAGAGUUAAAGGUCCAAUCACAGUAAAAAGUUGCUGUUGGUUCAAAAGAAUUAUGUUGUUGUUAUAAAAUCAGAUAUACUCAUAUACAUAACUCCCACCAUAACCGUUUUGUAAGUUACACAUAAGUAUACAGAAUGAUGAGACCGUUUGGCAGUUAUCAUCUAUAUGUAUUAAUACAUUUGUAUCAUAUGUGGGAAUAUGAGAUUGAAGAUUCAAUAUACAAUUUCCAUUGUUUUAUAUCACGUUAUCAGCACCUCUGCUCUAUAAUUCUUUGAUUGUUGAAGAUCCCUCAUUCUCUAAGUUGGUGGUUUGCUAGUUGCUGUCCUUGACUCCAAUAUUUCCAUACAUUCAGUUUUUUUUUUCAGAUUCAUCCAUUCAGCUAAAAAUGUCAAACUUGUCAAAUCUCAAAUUCACUGCACUUGAAAUCUCGGGCAACAACUAUCCCUCUUGGGCUUUUGAUGUUAAAACUCAUCUGGAAGCAAUGAGUUUGGGGGAGACAAUCAUUGAUGGGAAUAAAACGUACCUUCAAGAAAAAGCUAAAGCUAUGGCAUUCCUUCGCCUUCAUCUUCAUGAAGACCUAAAGAGGGAAAACCGUACUGUCGAGGAUCCUCUCGAGUUAUGGAAAAACAUUCAAGAAAGAUUUGACCACCUGAAGUUGGUCUUUCUAUCAAAAACUCGUUACAAGUGGGUUUAUUUAAGGCUACGAGAUCAUAAGACUGUUAGUGAGUACAACUCUGCCUUUCUUCGCAUCACCUCUGAGCUUAAAUUAUGUGGUGAACAAAUCACCGACAAAGACAUGAUUGAGCAAACUAUCUCAACGUUCCAUUUAUCAAACAUGCUCCUGGCGCAGCAGUACAGGGAACGUAAUUUUACAAAAUAUUCUGAGCUAAUGUCAUGUUUGUUGGUCGCGGAACAAAACAACAAGCUCAUACUACAAAAUCAUUAAAUGCGUGUUAUGUGAUGAUUUUUUUUAGACUAUAUUUUUUUUUCUUUCUUUGUUUGGUUUUUAUUUCAACUCUAGUGGUAUUUUAUGUUUUUGAACUAUUGUUAUGGUUUCACUAAAAAUCUUUGUGAUGUUUGAUU